UACGUAGGGGGCAAGCGUUGUCCGGAAUUAUUGGGCGUAAAGCGCGCGCAGGCGGUCAUUUAAGUCUGGUGUUUAAUCCUGGGGCUCAACCCCGGGUCGCACUGGAAACUGGGUGGCUUGAGUACAGAAGAGGAGAGUGGAAUUCCACGUGUAGCGGUGAAAUGCGUAGAUAUGUGGAGGAACACCAGUGGCGAAGGCGACUCUCUGGGCUGUAAACUGACGCUGAGGCGCGAAAGCGUGGGGAGCAAACAGG
rnacentral:rRNA from 1 species